AUGAUAAAUUCACCCCAUGCUUAUGAACAAAAUAAAGCUUUUACUAAACAUAUUGUUGAUGCUAUGAUGAAAGCUUUGGAAGAAAAUUUGGAAUUGGAAGUUUCAAUUCCUGGAAAAUUGCAUGAUGAGUGGGAACCUACUAUCAAAGUCAAGAUUAAAAAUUAUGAGUGUUUUGCUUUGUGUGACUUGGGUGCUAGUGUUUCUACAAUUCUGAAAUCUUUAUGUGAUGUGCUUGGUCUUACUAAUCUUGAAGAAUGUUCCUUGAAUUUGCACUUGGCGGAUUCUACUAUUAAAAACCCUAUGGGAAGAAUUAAUGAUGUUCUUAUUCUUGCAAAUAUGAAUUGUGUGCCCAUAGAUUUUAUUGUUCUUGAUAUUGAUUGCAAUCCAUCUUGUCCAAUUAUUCUUGGUAGACCAUUUUUACACACUAUCGGUGCCGUGAUUGAUAUGAAAGAAGGCAAUAUUAAGUUCCAAUUUCCUUUGAGGAAAGGCAUGGAACACUUUCCUAGAACUAGAAUUAAGCCACCUUAUGAAUAA
rnacentral:rRNA from 1 species